GACAUAGGUGGCGAACGUUAUCCGGAAUUAUUGGGCGUAAAGGAUGCGUAGAUGGCAGAAUAAGUUACUGGUCGAUGCCAAACUCAAUUUGACGGAAGCUGGUAAUACUGUUCUGCUAGAGGGCAGGAGAGGUUGAUGGAAUUCCUGGUGUAGCGGUGAAAUGCGUAGAUAUCAGGAGGAACACCUGUGGCGAAAGCGGCUCACUGGACCAUAACUGACGCUGAUGCACGAAAGCUAGGGGAGCAAACAGG
rnacentral:rRNA from 1 species